rnacentral:ncRNA from 1 species
UGGUCNCUAGNCCUUGAAAUCAGUUUUUACUCUACUUAUACAUGCAAGUCUCCGCACCCCUGUGAGAACGCCCUUAAANUCCCUCUCAGGGACUAGGAGCUGGUAUCAGGCACAAUAAUUAGCCCAAGACACCUAGCUAUGCCACACCCACAAGGGAAUUCAGCAGUAAUUAACAUUGUUUAUAAGCGCCAGCUUGACUCAGUUAAAGUAAAAAGGGCAGGCAAAUACGGUGCCAGCCGCCGCGGUUACACCAUGUGGCCCAAAUUGAUUUUUUUNCGGCGUAAAGAGUGAUUAAAGANAACACCANUACUGUAGUUAAACUAUNAAUUAAGUCGUGAAAAGCUUAUUAACAAGAAACUCAANAAACGAAAGUCACUACANNNUCAAAAACAACUUGAACUCACAACAGCUAAGACACAAACUAGGAUUAGAGACCCUACUAUGCUUAGCCACAAACUUUUAUUUACANNNNNNNNCCCCAAACGCCAGGGAACUACGAGCNAAAGCUUAAAACCCAAGGGACUUGACGGUGCCCCAUAUCCCCCUAGAGGAGCCUGUCCUAUAAUCGAUAACCCCCGUUUAACCUCACCACUUUUAGCCUAAUCAGUCUGUAUACCUCCGUCGUCAGCUUACCACGUGAGUGAAUAUUNAGUAAGUUUAAUGUUCCNACAACUCAUCAAUACGUCAGGUCAAGGUGCAACUUAUAAAGUGGGAAGAGAUGGGCUACACUCUCUAACCUAGAGAACACGGAAGACCANCUAUGAAANACGGGUCUAAAGGUGGAUUUAGUAGUAAAAAAAGACAAAAGAGCUUUUUUUANACCCGGUCCUGGGGGUGUGUACACACCGCCCGUCACCCUCUUCGNCAGCCUNNUANAUUUAGUGUUUUACAUCAUCCCNGCACAGUAGAAGAGGUAUAGUCGUAACAU